CAGGGUUCCUCAGAGGAAGGGGAUGAUGUCAGACACAGGCUGGGCUGCCUGCCUGCAUAUCUCCCUUGUCAGCCCAGCCUGGCCUGCAUGUCACACACAUCGAUCCAGAAGGCAGGCAUCUUUGCGUCCAUUUCCAGAAGAAACACUUGAGGGUCAGAGAAGUUAAAGGACUUGCGGAAGACCACACAGCCGAACUGGAAUCAAAAUUUCCUGGCUGUCAAAGCAGGUAGAAGAUCUGCAGAACACAGUUUGAAAACCACUGAAACAGAAGGGCAAACCCAGGCUUCUUGCCACCUGCUUCCACAAUUCUGGCCCUCACACCCUUCACGUUCUGGGACUUGGGGGUUCUUGAACCAGAUUUCCUCAACACAGCCAGCCAAGGCAGACCUCAUUUCAAGCCACCUAUUCUGCAUUGUCUUUGACUUGUCCAUAAGGAUUUCAUGAGGUAUGUGAACAUAGCUUAUAAGUGAGCUCUAUUUAUUCCUUCAACAAACUGGGGCUCCUGUCUCUCUGACUAUGCAGGCAAAUGGAGGACCACAGUCAGGUGACAUCCUGUCCCUGUCCUGGAG